GCGGCAGGCCUAACACAUGCAAGUCGAACGGUAACAGGAAGCAGCUUGCUGCUUUGCUGACGAGUGGCGGACGGGUGAGUAAUGUCUGGGAAACUGCCCGAUGGAGGGGGAUAACCACUGGAAACGGUAGCUAAUACCGCAUAACGUCGCAAGACCAAAGAGGGGGACCUUAGGGCCUCUUGCCAUCGGAUGUGCCCAGAUGGGAUUAGCUAGUAGGUGGGGUAAUGGCUCACCUAGGCGACGAUCCCUAGCUGGUCUGAGAGGAUGACCAGCCACACUGGAACUGAGACACGGUCCAGACUCCUACGGGAGGCGGCAGUGGGGAAUAUUGCACAAUGGGCGCAAGCCUGAUGCAGCCAUGCCGCGUGUAUGAAGAAGGCCUUCGGGUUGUAAAGUACUUUCAGCGGGGAGGAAGGGAGUAAAGUUAAUACCUUUGCUCAUUGACGUUACCCGCAGAAGAAGCACCGGCUAACUCCGUGCCAGCAGCCGCGGUAAUACGGAGGGUGCAAGCGUUAAUCGGAAUUACUGGGCGUAAAGCGCACGCAGGCGGUUUGUUAAGUCAGAUGUGAAAUCCCCGGGCUCAACCUGGGAACUGCAUCUGAUACUGGCAAGCUUGAGUCUCGUAGAGGGGGGUAGAAUUCCAGGUGUAGCGGUGAAAUGCGUAGAGAUCUGGAGGAAUACCGGUGGCGAAGGCGGCCCCCUGGACGAAGACUGACGCUCAGGUGCGAAAGCGUGGGGAGCAAACAGGAUUAGAUACCCUGGUAGUCCACGCCGUAAACGAUGUCGACUUGGAGGUUGUGCCCUUGAGGCGUGGCUUCCGGAGCUAACGCGUUAAGUCGACCGCCUGGGGAGUACGGCCGCAAGGUUAAAACUCAAAUGAAUUGACGGGGGCCCGCACAAGCGGUGGAGCAUGUGGUUUAAUUCGAUGCAACGCGAAGAACCUUACCUGGUCUUGACAUCCACGGAAGUUUUCAGAGAUGAGAAUGUGCCUUCGGGAACCGUGAGACAGGUGCUGCAUGGCUGUCGUCAGCUCGUGUUGUGAAAUGUUGGGUUAAGUCCCGCAACGAGCGCAACCCUUAUCCUUUGUUGCCAGCGGUCCGGCCGGGAACUCAAAGGAGACUGCCAGUGAUAAACUGGAGGAAGGUGGGGAUGACGUCAAGUCAUCAUGGCCCUUACGACCAGGGCUACACACGUGCUACAAUGGCGCAUACAAAGAGAAGCGACCUCGCGAGAGCAAGCGGACCUCAUAAAGUGCGUCGUAGUCCGGAUUGGAGUCUGCAACUCGACUCCAUGAAGUCGGAAUCGCUAGUAAUCGUGGAUCAGAAUGCCACGGUGAAUACGUUCCCGGGCCUUGUACACACCGCCCGUCACACCAUGGGAGUGGGUUGCAAAAGAAGUAGGUAGCUUAACCUUCGGGAGGGCGCUUACCACUUUGUGAUUCAUGACUGGGGUG
rnacentral:rRNA from 1 species